GACCUUGUGAUGUAGUGGUAGUACAUCUGUGUUAAUUUGGUUUGUUUUCUCCGAACUUUACUGGAGGACCCUUGUUCAAUUCAGGGCUAGGUCA